AGUGAACGCUGGCGGCAUGCCUAACACAUGCAAGUCGAACGGCAGCACAGUAAUAGCUUUCUCUUACGGUUGGCGAGUGGCGAGUGGUACAGCAGAACGUGGCAAUUAGUUUGUGAUAGGGGGUCGACAGCGGGAAUAUUACCCCAUACCACCUUAGGGCGAAAGGGGGGAAUCAUGGGACCUCGGGCCCUUGGGGCAUCCGAUGGCCGAUUAGCUAGUUGGUGGGGUAAAGGCCUACCAAGGCGACGAUCCGUAGCUGGUCUGAGAGGAUGAUCAGCCACACUGGAACUGAGACACGGCCCAGACUCCUACGGGAGGCAGCAGUGGGGAAUAUUGGACAAUGGGCGCAAGCCUGAUCCAGCCAUACCGCGUGUGUGAAGAAGGCCUUCGGGUUGUAAAGCCCUUUUGUUGGGAAAGAAAAGCAGCAGGUUAAUACCCCGCUGUUCUGACGGUACCCAAAGAAUAAGCACCGGCUAACUUCGUG
rnacentral:rRNA from 1 species